GGUCCGAUUGGUAACGCAAAGCUG
rnacentral:siRNA from 1 species